rnacentral:lncRNA from 1 species
GAAAAACAAUUACUCAAAGGAAAAGUAACAAAGUAAACAUCACUCAGUCAAGUUAUAGGCUCGAUUACACUAGACAGUUACACUAGACUAGUUACACAGUGUUCUAGGAGCCCAGAUGAGAACAGGAUGUGCAUACUGCUGUUCUGAUACUUAUACUUGUUGAUUGUGGAGAGCAGAUGCGCAUGAGCCAAAGUUUCAUUUAAGCAGAGAAGCAUACAGCGGCACAAGGGCAUCACUAAGCAAAUGGGGAAAGCUUCCUUCCUGGAUAGAUGAGGGGGGAGUCCACAGACAUGGUAGGAAAAUGGAUUAAGGAGGACAUACUGUUAUGGAAGAAAAGCAAAGCUACAUUUGGCACAUCUCCCUCUGGCUGUUAUUUGACAGUCCACAUAUCAUUGUGGCUCUCUCAUGCUGACAAGUGUUCCAGUCGGAGUCUGUGGCUGCCUCACCCCCAGAAGCAUCUGAUCUCACUGCUUCUGCUCCAGAUGGUGAUGUAUGAGAGGGUACGACAUGGGCAGUGAUGGGUGCUGUGUAAUGUCACUUCAAGACCUACAGCAGAUUAGUGAGAAGGAGACCUCCGAACAUGGAUCUCCGGCACCUCUGUAGCUCCCAAGAGCCCUCAUUCUUCUGACUUGGAGAUAACUUACUAGAAGGCCAAGCAUAGGAUUAAUUUAUCGCCAAACUGGUUUCAAAGUGAGAGCAAAAGACCGACUUUAGCAUUUAUUUCUAAUUGACAAUGAGGUUGAAGUCCAACUCUGGCAAUAAGAAAUCACUCUCAUGGACAACAGGGGCAAGAAUUGCAUCCUGUGUCACGUUUUAUGAGCUCAAAUCAUGGGAUUUAUGGUAAGUAUUUUGCCUUACCUUAUUUGAUCAAAAAGGUCAUUCAUCUUUUAGCCAUCUCAAAGCAACUCCAAAAUUUCUUGUUUUCCUUUUUUCAGAGAACGAUCAGCAAGCUUCACAUGAAUAAAGGCUACCCCAAGUUAUCAAUAAGCAAGCCGCUAUCAGCAAGCUUCACAUCACCACAAGGUCCAGAGGGAGGAACAAAAUGCAAGACAUCCCCCAGGAAAUGCAGAUAA